CACCCUAAGGGAAGAAUUAUGGGAAACGGCGCAAGAUGCCAGAGGUGGGCCAGGCUGUAAAGUCCUAGGAUCAAGUUUAAAUGCCACAUUUGUUCUUCAAGUUGCCCACUUGAGACUCUUCCAGAGGCAAGAAUUGAGGUUGGUGCAGACCUGUAUGGAUUCACUGCCAGUAACUUGGACACCUUCCACCAGUAACAGAAUUAAACAGAGACACC
rnacentral:lncRNA from 1 species